GCCCUGUUGGUGUAAUGGAAGCACAAGACUCUUCUAAAGUUUUAGAUAAGGUUCGAGUCCUUAAUGGGGUA
rnacentral:tRNA from 2 species